UUUGCAACAUAGAUUAAAAGAAAAGCAAUUCAUCACACAAAAUCUUAGAGCAACUACACCAAACAAAAACAAGAUUUGGAGGGAGAGAAAAUUGUGAGUGAGUUAAGGAUUGAACACGGUACCUUAAAAUUACAACCACACACACCCCUUACCAUCUCCAACUACACCAAACGAGGUUAUCGUAACCCACCGCAAACCAAAACGAAGCCUUAAAUGCUUUUAAGCCGCGUGCUUAAGAACUUAAUCGACGAGAGCUAACCAAGAAAUCACUAGCCCUUGACCGCUGAACACUGAACAGCAUUCUUGGCCGUGAAAGGCAGGGAUUUUUAUUUUCGAAGCUCACUGAACACUGCACAACUAGCGGCAUAGGCCACAGCCAUUUCGAUUUAUAACGAGUUCACCCAAGAACUCAACUGGAGGACGCCAAGAACUCAACCGGAGGACGCCGUGUUGCUGACUAUGUAUGUGAAGCCGAUGCGCGCCGGCGGCGCCGCAAAAAUUUGCGAGCUGCAGCCGAUGGUCAACUGCAAAUUCUGUCGACUGAAAAGCUGGUCAGAUAAUUGCCGACAUAUAAAUAUAGUAACAAAAACUUAUUUGAUUGAUUUCUUUCAAAAAAAAAUAUAACUUGUUUGAUGGACAAAUGGCCACAUACCUUUUACUUUUC
rnacentral:sRNA from 1 species